rnacentral:rRNA from 1 species
UGAUAUUAUUUUGGUUUUGUGUAGAUUUUAUUUUUAAUUUUUGUUAAAAGUUUUAUAUUUUAUAGUAAUGGGUAUAGAAAUAAUUUUUAUUUAGUACUGAAGGGGAUUAUAAUUUUAUUAUAUUUAUAGUAGAAAUUAAAGUUUGUACCUUUUGUAUAAUGGUUUAAUAAUAUUUAUUGAUAUAUUUUAUUUUCUCGAAAUAUAAAGAUUUAUUUACUUUAUAUUAAUUUAUAAUAGUUAGCGUGGUAUAGUUAUUAUUUUAAAGGUAAAUGGUAGUGAAAUGUUAUUCGGUUUAUAUGGUAGCUCGUUUAUUAUUAUAAACAUUUUAGUGUUAUUUAAAUUUAAUUAUUGUUGGUAAUUGUAAUUUUAAUUUAGUUUUUAAGGGAUAAGCUUUAAAAUUUAGUUUGUAAGAAUUGUAAUAUAAUUAUAUAAUUAAAGUUGAAUUAAUAGUUUUUCUUUUCGUUAUUUUAUUAAUAAUUUUAUUUGUUUUUGUUCUUAAUUUUAUUUUAAUAAAUUUUUUUUAUUUAUUUAAAAUUAAAUAUAAUGUUAAAAUGAGUAUUUUAUAUUGUUUAAUUUAAUGCUUUUAAAUUAAUUUUGGAAAUUAGGUUUUUAUUAUAUAUAUAUGGAUAAAUUAAGUUAAAGGAACUUUGCAAAUAUUAAUUUCGCCUGUUUAUCAAAAACAUGUCUCUUUGAGUUUUUUUAAUAGGGAGUUGGGCCUGCUCGGUGAUUAAUAUUUAACAGCUGCGGUAUUAUAACUGUACUAAGGUAGCAUAAUAAUUUGCCUUAUAAAUUGAGGCUAGAAUGAAUGGUUUGACGAAAAUUAUACUGUCUCUAUUUUAUUCAUUAGAAGUUAAUUUUUAUAGUGAGAAAGCUUGAAUAAUUUAAAGGGACGAAAAGACCCUAUUGAGCUUUAUAUUAUAUUUUAAAUUUGAUUUUUAUUUAUUUAUUUAUAUAUAAUUUUGGUUGGGGUGAUCAAGGAAUAAAAUGUAUUUUAUGUUAACUUCCUUAAAUGGUGAUAUUUAUAAAUGAAUAAACCAAAUUUUUUGCUUAGAAGAUAAGUUACCAUAGGGAUAACAGCGUAAUUUUUUUUGAAAGUUCAUAUUGAAAAAAGAGAUUGCGACCUCGAUGUUGGAUUAAAAUAACCUUAAGGUGAAGAGGCUUUAAUUGGUAAAUCUGUUCGAUUUUUAAAAUUUUACAUGAUCUGAGUUCAAACCGGUGUAAACCAGGUUGGUUUUUAUCUUUUAAAUUUAUUUUUAUAUUUAGUUUAGUACGAAAGGAUUGAUUAAGAUUAAUUUAUAUAUUAAUUUUUUUAUAAAACUUU